AGUGAGCGCUGGCGGUAGGCCUAACACAUGCAAGUCGAACGGCAGCACAGUAAGAGCUUGCUCUUACGGGUGGCGAGUGGCGGACGGGUGAGGAAUACAUCGGAAUCUACUUUUUCGUGGGGGAUAACGUAGGGAAACUUACGCUAAUACCGCAUACGACCUACGGGUGAAAGCAGGGGAUCUUCGGACCUUGCGCGAUUGAAUGAGCCGAUGUCGGAUUAGCUAGUUGGCGGGGUAAAGGCCCACCAAGGCGACGAUCCGUAGCUGGUCUGAGAGGAUGAUCAGCCACACUGGAACUGAGACACGGUCCAGACUCCUACGGGAGGCAGCAGUGGGGAAUAUUGGACAAUGGGCGCAAGCCUGAUCCAGCCAUACCGCGUGGGUGAAGAAGGCCUUCGGGUUGUAAAGCCCUUUCGUUGGGAAAGAAAAGCAGCAGGUUAAUACCCCGCUGUUCUGACGGUACCCAAAGAAUAAGCACCGGCUAACUUCGUG
rnacentral:rRNA from 1 species